rnacentral:rRNA from 1 species
CCUACGGGUGGCAGCAGUGGGGAAUUUUGCGCAAUGCUCGUGAGAGUGACGCAGCGACGCCGCGUGAAUGACGAAGGCCUUCGGGUCGUAAAGUUCUUUUGACAGGGAAGAAAAUGCCUGUAAGUAACUGGGUAUGUAUUUACGGUACCUGUAUAAGUAGCCUCGGUCAACUCCGUGCCAGCAGCUGCGGUAAUACGGAGGGGGCGUGCGUUGAUCGGAGUGACUGGGCGUAAAGGGCACGUAGGCGGUGGUGUAAGUCAUUAGUCAAAGAGUAGAGCUCAACUUUAGUAAGGCUAGUGAUACUAGAAGACUAGAGUAUCAGAGAGGAAUGCAGAAUUCCUGGUGUAGCGGUGAAAUGCGUAGAUAUCAGGAGGAAUACCGUUAGCGAAGGCAGCAAUCUGGCUGGAAACUGACGCUGAGGUGCGAAAGCGUGGGUAGCAAACAGGAUUAGAUACCCCGGUAGUC